UACGAAGGGGGCUAGCGUUGCUCGGAAUCACUGGGCGUAAAGCGCACGUAGGCGGCUUCUUAAGUCAGGGGUGAAAUCCUGGAGCUCAACUCCAGAACUGCCUUUGAUACUGAGGAGCUUGAGUCCGGGAGAGGUGAGUGGAACUGCGAGUGUAGAGGUGAAAUUCGUAGAUAUUCGCAAGAACACCAGUGGCGAAGGCGGCUCACUGGCCCUGUACUGACGCUGAGGUGCGAAAGCGUGGGGAGCAAACAGG
rnacentral:rRNA from 1 species